UUUAAAUUUUCAGUGAUUUUAUAUCAUGAUUCUUAUUGUACCUCAUCACAUAAUUUAUGGUAAUAGAUUAUGGAGCUAAAUCCAAAUCCGAUAGAUCAAUCAGUGUUGUAUUGUCAAGCGCGCCAUCGAUCAGAACUAGUUUGGGAAGGUCAGUGUAACGAGGAGUUGCACUUCAAGCGUAGAGAUACAGUAUUUGAUCCCACCAUUCCAUUACAUCAUUUGAUUAAACCAGCACUUCGUGCUUCCGGUUUUUAUGGAUUUGCCAAAGUUGGAUUUAUUCAAUUAGAGUGGCACUUGAGCACUGCGCUUGUGGAGCGAUGGAGGCUGGAGACUCACACUUUUCACAUGCCUGAGGGUGAAUGCACGAUAACUCUCGAUAAUGUAGCAGUGCAACUCGAGUUACCGAUAGAUGGUGAGCCAGUAACAGGCCAGUACAUUAGAAUUGGAAAGCCACCUGUCAAUUAUUUCUUGGUGUGAUUCCAGACGACUCCCAUAUUAGAGGAUCUAGACUUAGUUUACCAUGGUUGGUUUCAGAGUUACGCAACUUAGAUGACAAUUCCAACGAGGACACCAUUAUUAUAUAUGCUCGUGCUUACAUUUUUCAACUUAUCGGUGGUAGCUUAUUUGCCGAUAAGUCUAAUAACUUGGUCCACUUGAUGUUCCUUCCAUUGUUGGCUGAUUUUGAGAUUGUUUGAUGAUUCAGUUGCGGAGGAGCAUGCUUGGCAUGGUUGUAUAUAGACAUUUAUGCAAGGCAUGUCGAUCUGAUUCACGAGACAUUAUUGGUCCGAUCAUACUCCUUCAAGUAUGGGCUUGGGAUCAGUUCCCAAACAUGGCUCCAGCUCGUCGCCACAUCGUGGAACAUGAGCUCGUGGGACGACCAUUAGCUGCACGAUGAUUGGAGAAUCAUAUAAUAAGGAAUUUGCAUCCUUACCAGAUUACUGCAGCAACGGACAUGAGAUAUGGUGCAGAGUAAGUCCACUCAUUUUUUCAUGUUGUUGAAUGGCAUCAUCCAUAUAUAGUUGCUCGGCAGUUCAGGAUGAAACGAUCAAUUCCAUAUGUUCCUAAUUUGGACUCGAAGAUACAUGAUGUAGACCUUCGACACCAGAGAUGGCAGGACCAUACAACACCUUUUGUGGCUAGGUGGCGCAUGAGAUAUAUUGCCAUCCGGUGGACGAUGAUGGUGAUUGCGAUCUCGGAUACAUGAGUUGAUAUUUGUCAAUUACUAGAUGUUAUAUCACUCAAGAAGGAGCAGUGUUUGGUGCUAUUAAGAUAUUAAUAGCUUGUGUACCACUGGUGGGAGAUAUCUUCAAAGGCUUCAUCAGUUGUAUAGAGUACCUACACCUACUCACGGUCCCAAGCGUAGAGGACGUCGUCAAAUAGAGCAGGAUGUUCCAAACGAGCCUGACAUUCCUGAACCUGAAGUUAUGUAUCAUAAUGUUGAUGACGCUCCACCUUUCACACAGACAUAGGAUGAUGUCGGCCCAUCCACACCUAUGGUUAUGAUACCGACUCCUGGUUCGAGUCAAGUUCACACACUAUGAUUAUAAGGGUCAUGGAAGUGGGCGUGGAGAGUAUGAACAAUACAUCAACACUGACGAGGAUCAACAAACACCAGAGGCACCGAGAGCUCGUCGUCGACAGCCACAUCGUUAUCGACGAUCUCCCCUAUGUGGGACACAUUAGAUAGAUUGAUAGACUAUAAUGCUUAAUUUUUGUUAUUCAGCUCUACCUUUUAGAUAUUAAUUAAUAUUUUAUUCCUCUCUUAA